GGAACCCCGGGAAAGACAACAGUUGAACCAACGAACUGUCAAAAUCCCGAGCCUUGGAAAAAUGCAACAAACGAUGGCUCACAAAAAUCACCCAAACAACAAAGCCGACGUAGCUGCUUCUCUGCUAAAAACAUGUUCAUCCCUUUCUCAGCUCAAGCAAAUCCACGCCCACAUCUUCCGCUUUGAUCUCCACAGAAACGCUUCCUUAGCUUCCACUCUCGUUUCUCUCUAUGCCUCUCUCUACUCCCCUCUAUACUCCCGUCUCGUCUUCUCUUCUUUCUCUCACCCAAAUCUCUCUCUCUUCAACCAAGCCAUUAGAGCUUUCUCCAAGAUUCCGUCGCUUUGUUCUGAAUCACUGAAUUUGUAUGCCCAGAUGAUUCGUUUUGGGAUUAGACCAGACAAUUUUACAUACCCCUUUUUGCUUAACUCUUGCGCCUGUCUUAAUGAUCUUUGUCGUGGAACUGAAAUCCAUGGACACGUUGUGAAAACGGGUUUUGGUGUGUGUGUUCCAGUCUCGAAUGCUUUGAUUGAUAUGUAUGGUAAAUGUGGUGCGUUGGAGAAGGCACGUCGGCUGUUUGAUGAAUUGGGUGCAAAAGGAGAUGUUGUGUCCUAUAAUUCUCUUCUAGGGGCUCAUGCCAGAGUUGGGGAGGAUAUGGUAAAUGCCCAAGAAUUGUUUGAUGGGAUGCCGGUCAGAAAUGUGAUAUCCUGGAAUGCAAUGAUUGUGGGUUAUGUAAAUAGUGGAGAUCUAGGUUCGGCCCGUGCUAUUUUUGAUAGGAUGCCUCAGAGAAAUUCCGUUUCUUGGACUGCGAUGUUGGUGGGUUAUACUAAAAAUGGGCUCAUUGAUGCGGCUAAAGCUCUCUUUGAUGAAAUGCCGGAAAAGAGUUUGGUUUGUUGGACAGCAAUGAUUUCUGGGUGUGCACAAAAUGGGAGACCAAGCGAAGCACUGGAACUGUUCCGGAGGAUGGAGAAAGCACAUGUAAGACCAGAUGCUUAUACUAUAACUGCAGUAAUAUCUGCAUCGGCACAAUUGGGCCGAGCAGAUAUUGCAAAUUGGAUUGCAUCUUAUGUGGAACAAGAAGGCAUUGAGCAGAAUGAUCUGGUAUUAACUGCCCUAGUAGAUAUGCAUGCAAAGUGCGGUAACAUGGAAGAGGCAUGCAGCGUGUUUGACCAGAUCCACCAGCAGGAUGUCUUCUCGUAUAGUGCGCUAAUCACAGGUCUAGCUUCACAUGGUCAUGGGGUUAAAGCUCUGGAAAUAUUUCACAGAAUGCUAGCAGAAAAUGUUGAACCCGAUCAAAUCACAUUUGUUGGAGUACUGACUGCCUGUAGCCAUACAGGGCUCUUCGAAGAUGGAAUGAGAUAUUGGGAAAGCAUAAUAAAAGACCACAAGAUUGUGCCUGAUACUAAUCUCUUCUCUUGCAUGGUUGAUAUGCUGGGACGCGCCGGAAAACUUAAUGAGGCUUACAAAUUAGUGGAAAGCAUGCCCAUGGGGCCACAGCCUGGAGCGUUGGGUGCUUUGCUUGCUGCAUGCAGAACAUAUGGCAAUGUCGAGAUUGCGGAAAUUGUUGCUAAGCAACUCUUCAAAUUAGAACCUGAAAAUACUGGGAAUUACAUGCUUCUUUCCAGUAUCUAUGCCUCAAGGGAAAGGUGGGACGAGGCCAGAAGGAUUCGGGAAGCAAUGAAGGAGAGAAUUAAAAUUAAGCUUCCUGGAUGCAGUUGGGUUGAGAUCAAUUGCUGUGAUCAUGGAAUUCAAGUGAAGAACUGAACAUUUAUGUAUUUAAAGCAAAACCCUGGUGAGCUGUCAUCAUUGGACUGAAAUAUAAGAAAUGCACACUUUCUGCUCUGAAUGACAUUUUUAACCCUCAGCUUUGACAAUUUAUAUAAGGACUGGAUUCAAGUCCUGAAACAGCAUGGUUAAUCUCCUAUGAAAUUCCUUAAUAAAACUUUGUCUGCUAACAUGUUGAAAAAUCAGCAAGUAGUUUCUCAAGAUAAUCACAGAUUCCAUGCCCCUGUGGGCCCGCAUGACUUGAAGGCAGUCAACCGAUACAUUUGGCACCACAUGCUGCAAGUUACCAAUAACGUGUGGCAAUAAAACCUUUCUGUUUAAAAACUCAUGAAGGUAUGUUUACCCAGGAAGCAGGAAAGAUGGCAAGGAAAACUAUUUCUAUUGUUUCUGUGAGCUGACGGCUUACAUGUUGUUAGGUCCAUCUGAGCUAGAUAAAAGCAAACGGGAAUCUGAAUUGUGGCUAGUUUGCUUGGAGUAUCAAGAAAACGUUGGUGACACAUCCCAAGUAGUGACAUGCUCUCUUUUUCUGAUGUUUACAGGUCUGUAUAAGGUCUAAGUUAAUACUUUUAAGCAAUAUUAUUAUAGGCAUAUUGAGGCCCUUAACUGAAAAUUUUGUGUCCUUAACUGCUGGGAUAUCGGAAAGAUAUGUUGUUCUGCAAAGAGAUAAUGAUGGCUGUCUCGAUGUUCAACAGAACUGCACACUACAAUAACGAUGAAUGAGAGAAAGCUGUGAUAGUUCUUCAAAAGAAAAAUAUUGCAGCGAUCAGUUCUGUAUAUGAUAACUCCAAAGGGCCAUUACCCACCGUUUCUCUGUCAAAACAGCGUCCAUUUGGCUGGGGCCUGGGAAAUCGUGGUUGCUGCCACUGCCGCAAGGAGAGAAGAGAACAAUGUUCAACAAGUGCCACACCUUUUCUAGUCAGGCUGUCUUUCCCUUCACCUGCCAAAAUGAUCAAGCAAGUCAAAUUUACUUCCAAGUUUAUUUUGGACUUCUUGAGCUUGUCACGUGAAGCAGCGCAGGACAGAUAAGUUACCUUCAUGAAAAUCAUGCUUGGGAACACAAAGGUUAGAGGCAUGAGUGUAAAUGAUCCAAACAAGUUAACAAAAUAAUUACAUGAACAAUUAGCAUGUGCAAUGAAUUCCUAUUAUUAGCAAAAUAAAUUGAUUUUUUUAAAAAACAAUUGAAGAAUGGACUCUAUCAUUUGAAAAUUUCUUAAAAAUUUAACUAUGAAAUGGUUUUGUUUGAACAACUUAAUCUCUAAACCCCAAAAUUUUCUCACUAAUGCUAUCACUCACCUUUAUUACUAGAAAUUUAGAACCUAAUUAUGAAAUUUAACAAGCAUUCUGCAAAAAAUCGACUAUGGAAUACAAAAAUACAGUACUAUUUUCUCCCUCAUGCCCACUUCAAUUGAUUUUAUCUCUGAGAAUAUUUCUUGACUUAAUUAUCUAAAUGUGUUCUACUUAUCAAAAAAAAAAUUAUCUAAAUGUUUUCUGAUCCUCAGCGAUCAACUUAAUCUGGUGAUUGUCUUGUUGUUCUCGCAGGAGGUACUCUACACCAACCCAAACUAUUCACUGCUUGAUGACUUCAGUUAUUUUCCGCCAUCAUCAAUCAUGAUCCAUGUAAAUCGUUAUUGGAAUCUCCAAUAUUACACCAAAAAUAGUUUUUGACACUUGAUGUAGCUUUGCUAUCGCUAUCACUAUAUCGUGUAGGAUAGAACUCUUACAGCUCCUUGGUUUUUGGAUUUUAUCUGUAUCCACAUAGGAGUUUAGGUAUGUAAACACGAUGCUCCUAUGUCGUUAAUGAAGCUUCUAUUAAGAUUUAAGAGCUUUGUAUUGAUAUAGGGAUAGAAAAUGUUAUCUUUGAAGGGGAUGCUCUUGCAGUGGUUAAAGCUGUCCAGAUGAAUGAAGAGGAUUGCUCAUGGUAAGGUCACAGAUUAUAGAAGAUAUUGAGGCUCUUUUCCAUGGGAAAGAGAUGUGGAUUCUCCAACAUGUUCAAAGAGAGGGUAAUCAAGCUGCACAUCAUCAACUAUCAAAGUUAGCCAUAUCUUGUGAACAUGAGAUUGUGCGGAUUGAAGAAGGUCCUGAGUUGAUUAUGCAAUGUAUUAAUUUCAAAAAACAUGGUAACGCAUAAGUUAUGAAUGAGAAAAAAGUGUUUUUUUUUU